CGGGCUGUGGCGCAGCUGGCUAGCGCGUACGCAUGGGGUGCGUGAGGUCGUGGGUUCAAAUCCCGCCAGCCCGA
rnacentral:tRNA from 1 species